AAAAACUGCUCGAGCGUGUGCUCGCUUACCCUUGCAAAUUGCCCUAUAUUGAAUUCGAAUUAUUGAGAAUUCAAUAUGGCAGAGUUCGAAGAGAAAGUGAAGGUACAAGCAAAGAAGGCCAAGGCUUCGGCAAAGAAGGCCAAGAAGGCCAUAGUCAAACAUAGUAAGAAGGCUUAUGGUGCGUGCAAGAAAGGGUGGGCCAAGCUAAGGCAAAGCAUCAAGGACCUCAAGGAGAAGAAUAAGAGAACGGAAUAUUUAGGUAAUCGUCAUUAAACUUAAUAAUAACAUAUUUGUUAAUUGUUCUUGAGGAUUGACCAAUGGAAAUGACACUCACACGUUACGCAGCAUAUAUAGUUAUAUUACUUGUUGUAUCGCCCUUAUAGAAUUUAUUGAUUCAAUGGAAAUUAAAGAAACACAGAAUUUCGAUGAAAGUUGCGUUCUUUAUAUUUAUCUUUGUCUGGUUGUGGUUUCUUUUCCUCGUUAUUAGUUGAUGUUGGAGCCUUUCAUUUCAAGUUUUUCUUUUGGUACAUGACUUCUAUGAAAAACUAUGAUGCAGUGAUACGUGGAAUCCUAUCCGAUAUGGU
rnacentral:lncRNA from 1 species